UGUCGUCUGUUUUUCUUGGAGAGUUUCUUAAGUCAACUUAGAGGCUGGCCCUUGCCCAUGUGUUGAUUUGAAUGUUUUGUUGUCUUUCUGAAGGAAACCAUAUGCUCUCGCAUCUAUUUGUAUUGAUUGAUGGAGACUUGUUAGUAGUUGAUUGAGGAAGUUGGAUUCUUCGGGUGCUUUUUGAAGCUGUGGUCGAAAGAAGAAGAGGAGCAAGAAAAAGGAGGAGGCUUAUAAGUGAGAAGAUUGUGAUGAAUAUGAACAUGGAAGAAAUGAAAGAGAUUGAGAGGGUUGGGGGAGAAGGCAUGGAAGAAGUUAGAGAUGAGCCAGAGGAUAUCAAGAGGAUUGCUCCGUGGACUAAACAGAUUACAGUUAGGGGAAGGGGAAUUGUUGCUAGCAUAGCAAUUGGAAUCAUAUACAGUGUUAUAGUCAUGAAGCUGAAUCUCACCACUGGUCUAGUCCCAAAUCUCAAUGUCUCUGCUGCUCUUCUUACAUUUGUGUUCCUCAUAACAUGGAGUGGUUUUGGAUCUUAUCUACUGGGUUUGAAUAGGAAGACAUAUGAGCAAGCUGGGGUUGAUACAGAGGGGAAUACUCCUGGGAGCACUGGGGAACCUGGGAUUGGUUGGAUGACUGGUUUCCUCUUUGUAAGCAGCUUUGUUGGGCUACUUGCUCUAGUUCCUCUGCGAAAGUACAAACAAGAUAUCAAGUGGAUUUGACAUUAAAACAACACUAGAGGGGCAGAUUCAUGGUAUUAGAUUCCCUCUAGUUUUUUUUUAUUCCAUGUAUGUAAAAGGUCAAGCAUGCAAUGGUUUGUGUUAAUUAUAAAAUCAUUUAUGUUUUCCGCAAGUAUACUUGCCUCCUUUUGGGAACUUGAAUUCCAAACACCAAAUUCUGUUACCUCUUUCAAAGGGGAGUAAGUGACAAAUGAAUUCAGGUGCUGGAGGCAUUCUAGACAAAUGUAAAGGAUUUGGUCUUGCAGACAACUUGCAGCUAUCCAUUCAGGAGUUUAGAACAAAUCCAUUUUUGAUUUCUCGGGUGAUCUGGAAAAAUGAAACCAGCAACGCAUUCAGAGAGAGAAAAAUGCAUCUCUCAUGUGAAUUCAAGCAUCGAGCAAUGUGAGAAUUUAUGAGAAGCAGCACAAGGCUUGCAAGUGUACUUGCCUCCUUUUGGGAACUUAGCUAAGAUCCUCUGGCAUUUUUUUAUGAACCUCUUCCCUUCUCUCAUCCUCUUGUUUAUGAACAUAUACAAGGAAGAAUAGACAUAGCAUUACCUAUCUGGCAUUGAAAUAUAAGGUUUGAUCCUGCUAGGCUCCUUUUAAUAGAGGAUAUUCCUACCUAUAUAUCUUC